rnacentral:tRNA from 1 species
GGCUCAGUAGUUCAACUGGAUAGAAUAUCAGAUUUCGGCUCUGAGGGUUGGGGGUUCGAAUCCUCCCUGAGUCA